GAGUUUGAUCAUGGCUCAGAUUGAACGCUGGCGGCAUGCCUUACACAUGCAAGUCGAACGGCAGCACGGGAGCUUGCUCCUGGUGGCGAGUGGCGAACGGGUGAGUAAUGCAUCGGAACGUAUCCUGGAGUGGGGGAUAACGUAGCGAAGGUUACGCUAAUACCGCAUAUUCUGUGAGCAGGAAAGCGGGGGACCUUCGGGCCUCGCGCUCUUGGAGCGGCCGAUGUCGGAUUAGCUAGUUGGUGAGGUAAAGGCUCACCAAGGCGACGAUCCGUAGCAGGUCUGAGAGGAUGAUCUGCCACACUGGAACUGAGACACGGUCCAGACUCCUACGGGAGGCAGCAGUGGGGAAUUUUGGACAAUGGGGGCAACCCUGAUCCAGCCAUGCCGCGUGAGUGAAGAAGGCCUUCGG
rnacentral:rRNA from 1 species